UUUCCUACGGGACGCAGCAGUGGGGAAUAUUGCACAAUGGGGGAAACCCUGAUGCAGCGACGCCGCGUGAGUGAAGAAGUAUUUCGGUAUGUAAAGCUCUAUCAGCAGGGAAGAAAAUGACGGUACCUGACUAAGAAGCCCCGGCUAACUACGUGCCAGCAGCCGCGGUAAUACGUAGGGGGCAAGCGUUAUCCGGAUUUACUGGGUGUAAAGGGAGCGUAGACGGCCAGACAAGUCAGAAGUGAAAGCCCAGGGCUCAACCCCGGGACUGCUCUUGGAACUGCGUGGCUAGAGUGCAGGAGGGG
rnacentral:rRNA from 1 species